rnacentral:rRNA from 1 species
UACAGAGGUCCCAAGCGUUGUUCGGAUUCAUUGGGCGUAAAGGGUGCGUAGGUGGCGCCGUAAGUGGGGUGUGAAAUUUCGGAGCUUAACUCCGAAACUGCAUUCCAUACUGCGGUGCUUGAGGACUGGAGAGGAGACUGGAAUUUACGGUGUAGCGGUGAAAUGCGUAGAUAUCGUAAGGAAGACCAGUGGCGAAGGCGGGUCUCUGGACAGUUCCUGACGCUGAGGCACGAAAGCUAGGGGAGCAAACAGG